CCCGAGUAGAGUGGCGCACGGGUGAGUAAUACAUCGGAACGUGUCCUGUAGCGGGGGAUAACCUAGCGAAAGCUAGGCUAAUACCGCAUACGUCCUAAGGGAGAAAGUGGGGGAUCGUAAGACCUCACACUAUAGGAGCGGCCGAUGCCGGAUUAGCUAGUUGGUGGGGUAAAGGCCUACCAAGGCUACGAUCAGUCGCUGGUCUGAGAGGACGACCAGCCACACUGGGACUGAGACACGGCCCAGACUCC
rnacentral:rRNA from 1 species